rnacentral:tRNA from 1 species
ACCUGGCUGGCUCAGUGGGUAGAGUGUGCAAUUCUUGGUCUCGACGUUGUGAGUUCGAGCCCCACGCUGGGUG